rnacentral:lncRNA from 1 species
UUGGUAAAAGUCAUCGCCAUUCUCUAAUCUUGAGUACCCAGGGACACGAUACACUGCGGAAGGCUGCAGGGACCUCUGCCCAGGAAAGCCAGGCUUGCAUGAAGGAAAUGAUUUCCUAUGAUUCUGCUUACUGCUUAAAAAAAUUAAUCAAGUUUUCUGCCUGACAAAACAAGCCCUGUGAAAAACAAGCUGCUGUCCCUGCUAGAGGCAUCCUGCAAUCCAUGGAUGUUUAUCACCAAGCCAUUGUUAACAUGAGGAUCCAGUAUCUGCCGGAGGAGCCCCACCUUCUGCUACUAUUAUGUUCUUCAGAUGAGUAGAAGAGAGUGGGGAGGGAGAGAGCAGGAAGAAGAAAGGAAGAAUAAUGUCUUGAAAUUGUUUUCUAAGGAUAAUGGUCUCCAGCUUCGUCAAUGUUCCUGCAAAGGACAUGAUGCUGACUUUGAAGAUGCAAGCUUCCACAUCUACAGCCUCAAGGAAACAAAUUCAGCCAACCAACUGAGGGAGCUUUCCUUGUCCUGCCUCAAGAUGAGAUCACAGUCUGCCCAACACCAUGAUUUAGGCCUUGUGACACCUGGUAUGGAAGACCCAGUUAAGUUCUCUCCAAACUCUUGACCCACAGAACCUGUGAGAAAAUAUAUGGAUAUUAUUUUAAACUGC